CACACCCCCGUGUCACUGAGGAAGCGCUGAUUGGGCAGUGGGCAGGGCCGGCCCUAUCAUUACUCCUGUACGUGGAACUGCUACAAGGCUGUGGGCACGGAGGGUGCCUGAAUCCCGAUUAGUGUCAGAUUCAAGAUGUACUGUGACAUUGGGUGCUGAGCGAGUCCCCCCUCAGUAUCAGCCACAACAGAUUUUGUCAUGGAGAUGAGGAGUUUCACUCUCAUUGUAAGGGUGUGGAUCCCUAUGGCCAGUACCUGAACAGUUCUGGACCUUCCCAUGUGACCCCAGCACCGCCACUCACCCUGUCACCAGCUCCUCUGGGCCUCCCACUUCCAGGGCUGGUGGCCUAUUUAAUGGGGAAAGAUGAGGAGGAAGACGACAACACCACCAUCAUCCUCACUCGCGUGGAGCCUAUGCCCCAUGUGCCACAGCAGCCGCAACCAUCACCACCCAGGCCACAAAUCAACAUUUCCAAUGCAGAGUAGAUCUCCAUCUUCCUCCAUCAAUUGCGGGAAAACACCUGGCAUUUAUGGAGAACCAGACCAGCCAGCUGGACUACAUCAGCAAAUGAAGCAGAUGAAUCGAACUGUGGCGGUGGUUCAGGGCAUCCACACUCUAAUGGCCUUGCAGAUCAAUAAUCACCUGCAGAAAUUGACCCAGGCCACACAGGAGUGGAUGGGGGUAGCCCGGGAUCAACUGCAGGUGACCCGGGAGUACACGCAGGCCAUUCGGGAGCAAACCCAGAUGUUUGUGUCCCUGCAGUGGGAACUGGUGGCGCAAUGAUUGGGCUGUGAAGGGCCAAAUACAACAAGGGCCAGCUCCCUCCACUCCUGCACACAGAGUGGCUCACCAGUCGCCCCUCAAGGUGUAGUGCCCGCGGGGGAGGGGAGGGGGAUCAAGGGGUCAAUGGACUUUCUCCUCCCAAUGAUUUUUGUUUUUCCCUCUUCAUUAUUUUCUUUCUAACAACAAUAUUCUGUUGACAUUUGUGUCCAUUUUUUUCAUAUUAAGUAAAG